rnacentral:rRNA from 1 species
AGCGGACGCUGGCGGCAGGCCUAACACAUGCAAGUCGAACGAAGUCUUCGGACUUAGUGGCGGACGGGUGAGUAACACGUGGGAACGUACCUUUUGGUUCGGAACAACUCAGGGAAACUUGAGCUAAUACCGGAUGAGCCCUUAGGGGGAAAGAUUUAUCGCCGAAAGAGCGGCCCGCGUUAGAUUAGCCAGUUGGUGAGGUAAAGGCUCACCAAGGCUACGAUCUAUAGCUGGUCUGAGAGGAUGAUCAGCCACACUGGGACUGAGACACGGCCCAGACUCCUACGGGAGGCAGCAGUGGGGAAUCUUGCGCAAUGGGCGAAAGCCUGACGCAGCCAUGCCGCGUGAAUGAUGAAGGUCUUAGGAUUGUAAAAUUCUUUUACCAGGGACGAUAAUGACGGUACCCGGAGAAGAAGCCCCGGCUAACUUCGUGCCAGCCGCCGCCGUAAAAC